rnacentral:rRNA from 1 species
GUGCCAGCCGCCGCGGUAAUACGGAGGGUGCAAGCGUUAUUCGGAAUUACUGGGCGUAAAGCGCGUGCAGGCGGCUUGGAAAGUCUGAUGUGAAAGCCCCGGGCUUAACCUGGGAAGUGCAUUGGAAACUAUCGAGCUUGAGUACUGGAGAGGAAGGGAGAAUUCCCGGUGUAGAGGUGAAAUUCGUAGAGAUCGGGAGGAACACCAGUGGCGAAGGCGCCCUUCUGGACAGAUACUGACGCUGAGACGCGAAAGCGUGGGGAGCAAACAGGAUUAGAUACCCUUGUAGUCC